CCUACGGGAGGCAGCAGUGAGGAAUAUUGGUCAAUGGACGAGAGUCUGAACCAGCCAAGCAGCGUGAAGGAUGACUGCCCUAUGGUUUGUAAAUUUCUUUUAUAUGGGAAUAAAAUGUUCCACGUGUGGGUUUUUGUAUGUACCAUAUGAAUAAGGAUCGGCUAACUUCGUCCCAGCAGCCGCGGUAAUACGGAGGAUCCGAGCGUUAUCCGGAUUUAUUGGGUUUAACGGGAGCGUAGGUGGAUUGUUAAGUCAGUUGUGAAAGUUUGCGGCUCAACCGUAGAAUUGCAGUUGAGACUGGCAGUCUUGAGUACCGUAGAGGUGGGCGGAAUUCGGGGUGGAGCGGUGAAAUGCUUAGAUAUCACGAAGAACUCCGAUUGCGAAGGCAGCUCACUGGACUGCAACUGACACUGAGGCUCGAAAGUGUGGGUAGCAAACAGGAUUAGAUACCCUUGUAGUC
rnacentral:rRNA from 1 species